rnacentral:rRNA from 1 species
AUAUCAAUAAGCGGAGGAAAAGAAACCAACCGGGAUUGCCUCAGUAACGGCGAGUGAAGCGGCAAAAGCUCAAAUUUGAAAUCUGGCCUUGUGGUCCGAAUUGUAAUUUGAAGAAGCGACUUUGGGCCUGGCUCUUGUCUAUGUUCCUUGGAACAGGACGUCACAGAGGGUGAGAAUCCCGUGCGAUGAGAAGACCAGGUUCGUGUAAAGCGUUUUCGACGAGUCGAGUUGUUUGGGAAUGCAGCUCUAAGUGGGUGGUAAAUUCCAUCUAAAGCUAAAUAUUGGCGAGAGACCGAUAGCGAACAAGUACAGUGAUGGAAAGAUGAAAAGAACUUUGAAAAGAGAGUGAAAAAGUACGUGAAAUUGUUGAAAGGGAAGGGCUUGAGAUCAGACUUUGUUUUUCCAUGGCGCUCUUUCGGGGGUGUCCUCUGGGGCUACAGGGCCAGCAUGGGUUUUGCGGGCGAGACGAGGUUUCCGGGAAUGUGGCUCUGCUUCGGUGGAGUGUUAUAGCCCGGGGGACUGGUCGCCAUGCGGGACCGAGGACUGCGGUACUAGGAUGCUGGCAUAAU